rnacentral:rRNA from 1 species
GGAUAACCGCUGAAGGCAUCUAAGCGGGAAGCCCCCCUCGAAACAAGGUAUCCCUGAGGGCCGUGCGAGACCAGCACGUCGAUAGGCCGGGUGUGCAAGCGCAGCAAUGCGUUCAGCUGACCGGUACUAAUUGCCCGAUAGGCUUGAUUUG